rnacentral:rRNA from 1 species
CUGGUGGGUAGUUUGACUGGGGCGGUCUCCUCCCAAAGAGUAACGGAGGAGCACGAAGGUUAGCUAAUCCUGGUCGGACAUCAGGAGGUUAGUGCAAUGGCAUAAGCUAGCUUGACUGCGAGAGUGACGGCUCGAGCAGGUGCGAAAGCAGGUCAUAGUGAUCCGGUGGUUCUGAAUGGAAGGGCCAUCGCUCAACGGAUAAAAGGUACUCCGGGGAUAACAGGCUGAUACCGCCCAAGAGUUCAUAUCGACGGCGGUGUUUGGCACCUCGAUGUCGGCUCAUCACAUCCUGGGGCUGAAGUAGGUCCCAAGGGUAUGGCUGUUCGCCAUUUAAAGUGGUACGCGAGCUGGGUUUAGAACGUCGUGAGACAGUUCGGUCCCUAUCUGCCGUGGGCGCUGGAGAAUUGAGGGGGGCUGCUCCUAGUACGAGAGGACCGGAGUGGACGCAUCACUGGUGUUCGGGUUGUCAUGCCAAUGGCAC